UCGGGAAUUUUGUCCAAUGGGGGAAACCCUGAGACAGCAACGCCGCGUGAGGGAUGAAGGCCUUCGGGUCGUAAACCUCUGUCAGGAGGGAAGAAAGCUCCAUUGCAAAUAGUUUUGGAGUCUGACGGUACCUCCAAAGGAAGCGCCGGCUAACUCCGUGCCAGCAGCCGCGGUAAUACGGAGGGCGCAAGCGUUGUUCGGAAUCAUUGGGCGUAAAGCGGGUGCAGGCGGUGGAGUAAGUCGGAUGUGAAAUCCCAGGGCCCAACCCUGGAACUGCAUUCGAAACUGCUUCACUAGAGUCCCGGAGGGGAAGGCGGAAUUCCCGGUGUAGAGGUGAAAUUCGUAGAUAUCGGGAGGAACACCAGUGGCGAAGGCGGCCUUCUGGACGGUGACUGACGCUCAGACCCGAAAGCGUGGGGAGCAAACAGGAUUAGAUACCCGUGUAGUCC
rnacentral:rRNA from 1 species